GCCGGGUGCGGUGGCAUGUGCCUGUAAUCCAAGUCACUGGGAGGCUGAGGUUGGUGGAUCAAGUGAGCUGAGGAGCUCUGGGCUGCAGCACACUAUGUUGAACGGGUGUCCACGCUAAGUUCGGUAUCGAUAUGGUGUUCCAGGGGGAGCCCGGGACCACCAGGUUGUCUAAGGAGGGGUGAACCGGCCCAGGUCGGAAACGAAGCAGGUCAAAUCCCCCGUGCUGUCCAGUAGUUGGAUAAUACCUGUGAGUAGAUGCUGCAGUGCAGCCUUGGCAAAACAUCGAGACCUAAUCUUUC
rnacentral:SRP_RNA from 1 species